rnacentral:rRNA from 1 species
UACGUAGGGUGCGAGCGUUAAUCGGAAUUACUGGGCGUAAAGCGUGCGCAGGCGGUUCGUUGUGUCGGUGGUGAAAGCCCCGGGCUUAACCUGGGAAUGGCCGUCGAAACUGGCGAACUGGAGUGUGGCAGAGGGGGGUGGAAUUCCGCGUGUAGCAGUGAAAUGCGUAGAUAUGCGGAGGAACACCGAUGGCGAAGGCAAUCCCCUGGACCUGUACUGACGCUCAUGCACGAAAGCGUGGGGAGCAAACAGG